rnacentral:rRNA from 1 species
UUCGGGCCUCGCGCCAUUAGAUGAGCCUAGGUCGGAUUAGCUAGUUGGUGAGGUAAUGGCUCACCAAGGCGACGAUCCGUAACUGGUCUGAGAGGAUGAUCAGUCACACUGGAACUGAGACACGGUCCAGACUCCUACGGGAGGCAGCAGUGGGGAAUAUUGGACAAUGGGCGAAAGCCUGAUCCAGCCAUGCCGCGUGUGUGAAGAAGGUCUUCGGAUUGUAAAGCACUUUAAGUUGGGAGGAAGGGUAGCAACUUAAUACGUUGCUACUUUGACGUUACCGACAGAAUAAGCACCGGCUAACUUCGUGCCAGCAGCCGCGGUAAUA